rnacentral:rRNA from 1 species
ACGGCUCAGUAACACGUGGCUAACCUACCCUAAGGACCGAGAUAACCCCGGGAAACUGGGACUAAUCUCGGAUAGAUGAAGGGUUCUGGGACGGCCCUUCAUCGAAAAGGACCUAAGGGGUUACCUCUUAGGUUCCGCCUUAGGAUGGGGCUACGACCCAUUAUGGUAGUUUGCGGGGUAAUGGCCCGCAAAGCCUAUGAUGGGUAGGGGCCCUGAGAGGGGGAGCCCCCAGAUGGACCCUGAGACAAGGGUCCAGGCCCUACGGGGCGCACCAGGCGCGAAACCUCUGCAAUGCGGGCAACCGUGACAGGGUUACUCCAAGUGCUCCCGUUAAGGGAGCUUUUGUCCGCUGUAGGUAGGCGGACGAAUAAGCGGGGGGCAAGUCUGGUGUCAGCCGCCGCGGUAAUACCAGCCCCGCGAGUGGUCGGGACGAUUACUGGGCCUAAAGCGCCCGUAGCCGGCCUAGCAAGUCUCCUCUGAAAGCCCCGGGCUCAACUUGGGGGCGGGGGAAGGUACUGCCGGGCUUGGGGGCGGGAGAGGCCGAGGGUACUCCUGGGGUAGGGGCGAAAUCCGAUAAUCCCAGGAGGACCACCAGUGGCGGAGGCGCUCGGCUGGAACGCGCCCGACGGUGAGGGGCGAAAGCUGGGGGAGCAAAGGGGAUUAGAUACCCCUGUAGUCCCAGCUGUAAACUAUGCGGGCUAGCUGUUGGGUGGGCUUAGAGCCCGCCCAGUGGCGUAGGGAAGCCGUUAAGCCCGCCGCCUGGGGAGUACGGCCGCAAGGCUGAAACUUAAAGGAAUUGGCGGGGGAG